ACCGUCUUAUUCCAAAUGUAGUUAUGUUGGGAUUUUAAAAGUUUUGCCAUGUUUGCUGCAUACCAUUUUGGACAAAGAUACCAUGUUGUAAAACAUCAAUAGAUCCGUUGGCGGAGCAGGACCAGAUCGCCUGUGAUCUGUUUCACGUUUCUUCUAAUGAUUGUCAAACUCAUCUUAAUGAAUUUGAAGACAAGCGGUGCUCGCUCAUAUUCUUAAAAAUAAUAAUCAGUCGAGUGUCUAUUCUUAGUUCGUCUCCCCAGCUGGCUUUACUCGUGAUACCCAUGGCGACCCAAAAGGACAAAAUAAAGUGUGCAGUAGAGUGUAGAGAACUCCAAUGCUCAAUUUUUUUUACCGGAAGUUUCUCAAAUUGUGUUUGAUGAAGCUUGCCCAUCACCGCUCAAUACGAACUCGAUUGGGGGCCUAGCAGCUACACUACAACGAAGAUGCGUCGAAUUUCAGCACUAUAAAUAUGAAAAACAUAUGAAGAUGCCUCAUUUCUACAUAAUGAUAGUUCUCACACUCGGUUUCUGCAUCAGGCCUUUUUAUCUUAUCCUGCCACCUUGGCAGCCUCUAAGAAAGCUAGUAUUCACACAUAUCGUAAGCUACGUGUUUGACUGUACCUGGUAACCUUAGAACAUUUUCGGGUGCGGCUGUUCUGUUACACUUGACUGAUACUAGCAAGUUCUCUUUUGGUGAGGCUAAAAUGAGUAUUUCUUUGCGUACUAAAUUACUAAGUUUGCUUGGACGCUUUGGAACAAGGAUAAAUUGUGCGGAUCACGAUUCAUAACAGGCUCAGCGAGCACAAGGGGUUCUUUUUUUUGUUGCAUGAUACUAGCAAGUUCUCUUUUGGUGAGGCUAAAAUGAGUAUUUCUUUGCGUACUAAAUUACUAAGUUUGCUUGGACGCUUUGGAACAAGGAUAAAUUGUGCGGAUCACGAUUCAUAACAGGCUCAGCGAGCACAAGGGGUUCUUUUUUUUGUUGCAAGUAGUCUGCGUAAUGUUUCUAGCAUUGUGUAAGCAUUUUCUGGUUUAUAUAGGUACGCCGAGCAAGUCAACCUCAGAUUGCAUUAGAGAGCAGGACACCCUAUAGUAGGACUUAUAUAAGAUUCAAUGUAGCACAUCUCUCCAAGCUAUAUAAAUAGGAUUAGAGAAAUCAGCCACAUUCUGCAGCAUAACUAGUAGGAGUACACUUUGCCCAAUAGUGUCCACCUUACUGUCAGAAAAUCAAAUCUGGAUGCCCUACUUCAGAGUUUGGCAAAGCAAAUCAAUUCGGGUGGCUUGAAAUACACACAACUCUUUCAAUUAGCAAGAAGAUUGGUCAGUGAACAACAGACAGCCUUGCAACCUUUUAUCUUUAUCUUUAUACCCUGCAGCUAGCCAGCAACAAGCAAAGAAUUGAUUCUGUAUUUAGUGAAAUCAAAAAAGAUGAAAGAGGGAACUCAAAGCAAAAGGAAAGAAUAUUACCAGUUUCUUUUAUUCUGUAAGGCAUUUGUGCACACAUACAGAAGCAGGAAGGACCCAAAUAUUUCGGCGCAACAUGUUACUUGACCCUUUUUGGCUCUCCAAUCCGUCCAUCUGGUAGUGGCACCUGAGCAAUCUAUUUGGUAUCCCUCGAGCGAGAUACUCUCUACAUAGUCCAGUUGUUCAACUUAACCAAGGAAGUCAGAAAAUUGUUGAAGAGCUGAUCGGAUCUUAAGCCCCAAAUGGAAUUAAUAUAGAUACUGCAGAUCGACGGAUCCAACCACUUCAUUAUGCGUUCAGAGGUUAUCAAGGCGGACACCAUUGAUGCUGCCGUUGAAAGGAUUCUCAGUGAGCUUGGGGCGGAAACUAGAAGAAGCAGCAACAGAGAGAACGCCAUCUAUUUUGAUGGCUGGAACGGGCUUGGGGCAUCUACGGUCCUGCAAGCCGUAGCCAAACACCUUGCAGUAUCAGGUGACCUCUCGAUGAGGCCUGCAGGGCUCGAGUUUCAGAAAAUCAUCCACAUCGAUUGCUCAAAGUGGGAGAGCAGAAGAGCUAUGCAGAGGAAAAUUGCAGAGCAGCUGAAGCUUACCGAUUCAGUGAUGGAGAUAUUUGACAAACAAGACGAGGAGGAUGAUUUCAAUGGGUUAGACCAGGGUUCCCGGGCUGAGAUAGCACAAAUUUCCACUGAGAUCUAUCAAACCAUGCAGAAUCUCAGAUUCCUGGUGAUCCUACACAAUGGAGGCAAUCAGGAGAUCGAUAUAUUCAAUUCUGGUCUUUCUCUAUAUGAAUAUGCGAAUAGCAAGAUGUUGUGGACUUUCAGAGGGAGGUUUCGGCUUGACCCCAAGGUGAUAGACAAUGUGAAGAAGAGCACAACAACAGAUGUUCUUUUUUCAGCUUCAAGAGAUAGGCGAGAUCCGCAGGAGCUUUGGUCUUAUCUAGUGCGCCAUGAAGCUGCACAAGUUUCCUGGAAUAAGCAUGGACAUGCCAUCAUCGAUUCAGCAAUUGCUGCUAAGUGUGUUUCAUAUAUGCUGAAACAAUCCUGGAUUGGCUCUCACAUCAUUGACUACAACUGGGAUAUCCACGCCAGUAACUACUGGAUAUGUGAUGGCAUCAUUACACUUGAAGGCAUUGAUCAAGCAUGGAAAGUUGGCAAUGCUCUGCAGCAGGAGGUGCAGUUGUUGUUGGACAUGGACGGUCGGCUUAACAAUGAUGAAUCAAGACUAAUGACUUUCAGCGCUCAGCUAGCAAGCUCUGCCGAGGUCGUGCCAUACUGGAUGUCAACAACAACUUGUGGAUUUGUACUGAGCCCCUCUGGUGCUAUUCUUGAUAACAUGUUUCAACACUCGCACAUGCUCGGCGUGCUCAAAAUCUCAAGGUGUGCCUUCAGUUUCUCAUCACCUCCUUUCCUCUGUUGCCACAGCCUGAGAUUCCUGUGUCUUGAGUACUGUCAAGACCUCCGAACAAGGAGUUGCCAGUCAGAUGCAGACAAACAGGAGAAGGAGCUGGACAAGAGCCCCAUAGAGUCAUGGGAAUGCUUCCAAAGCUUGUGGGUGCUUGAUGUUCGCUACACAGAUUGGGAUCAGAUCUUGUCCACAGAGAUGAUAGAUCUCAUGACCCAUCUCAGGGAGUUAAACGUGAUUGGAGCCAAGAACUGGGACAUGAGCCAUCUACGGGGAAGGCUGUGUAACAUUCGCAAGCUCCGUGUAAAAAAGUCCACCUGCUUCUUCAACAAUGAUGUGUUCUCAGAGAUGGAAUGCAUAGAGCUUCUUGAUUUUUCUGGAAAUACUGUCAGACAGGGCAUGACAAGCUUAUCUGGGCCAUCAAGCAACAGUAGCCUUAAGACUGUCACUAUUGAUGGAUGUGACGGCUUAGAAAUGAUCUCUUUCAGGGGCUGCAAAGAAUUGGAGAACCUGUUAUUGAAAGGAUCGUUGGACUGGCUCGAGGAGCUAGAUCUCUCAGGCACAAAAGUAAAAACUCUCGACCUUGGAGGAGUAAAAUCCACACUGCCCAAGCGGAUAAUCCUGAUGGGUUGCGAGAGGCUCCGCGCAAUAUUGUGGCCAAAGGGUGUUGUAAUAAAAGAGGAAACAUGCCCAGAGUAUGUGCUGCGGAUUGACACUACCUCAGCAUCAUCAUCAACUGACGGAGGGGAAUCAACACAUGCACAUCCACAUGGUGAUCAAUCCUUCCAGUGGGAGAAAGAAAAACUGUUUAAGGAUGGAUGGCAGAUUUCUUCCACGGAUGCAAGGCUCCUUAGGUCGCUUUCUCCCGUAAGAAGUUAUUUUAGAUUUGGACCCUUACAUAUUGAUAUCUAUUCUCCAGCUAUUGCUGGUGGUAGCAACGUACAAGGAACAAGCAGUGACAAACUAGUGCAAUUCCAACCGCAUACAAGUACCAUAAUGGACUCCGAGUACAGAGACGUCGCGAAGGAUGGCCCAGUUGAAGAGAUGAUGAUGUGGGAGUGCCCUAGUAUAUUUUCUAUGUGGCUGCGCCGACCCAGAAAUGUUUCUGUCAUAAGGGUGAUCAUGCAUGAGCAGGGCAACAAGCUCUUGGUGAAGGAUGCUCCAAGUGCUAGUACUAGUGAUUUAUUCUUCCCUGAUUUUAUAUGUGAACUGGCUAAAUCGUUGCACAUGCACGAUAACUCGUCCAUCACCAGUAUCCCAGCACCUCCCAAAGGAUCAGGAUGGAAGUACCUAAGCUGGUGCCGGGUCGAGAGGUGCCCCAAGUUACACACAGUCUUCACUAUUCCUAUGGGCAGCGAUGUGGACUGCUUUGAAUUUCUGGAGACAUUCUGGGCGUCCCAGCUCCUAUCUCCAUGCUACAUCUGGGACAGGCCAAUUAAUAAUACUGCUUCACGCCUGAGGUUCUUGCACCUGGACCACUGCCCCAGGCUCGUCCAUGUGCUCCCUCUCUGCAGACGGAACAUAUACUACGCGGGUGUAUUGCAGAGCCUAGAGAUACUAGAGAUAGUGUACUGCAGUGACCUCAAGGAGGUAUUCCCUUUGGAUCUGGAGCUUCAGGCGCAGAAUGAUAUGGUUAUAAAAUUCCCCAGCCUGAGGUGCAUCCACCUGCACGAGCUCCCCACGCUGCAACACAUCUGUGGGCGGAGGAUGUACGCGCCAAACCUAGAGAUCAUCAAGAUCAGGGGUUGCUGGAGCCUCAGGCGUCUGCCGGCAGUCUGGCGCAACACCAAGCCGACCAAGGUGGACUGCGAGAAGGAAUGGUGGGACAACCUGGAGUGGGAUGGGCUGUGGAAGGACGACCACCACCCUUCCCUCUACGAGCUGAGUCACUCGUUGUACUAUAAGGCCCAGCUGCUCGGAGUCAGCGUAUUUAGCCUCGACAUCUUCUGAUCCUGAGCCCCCUACACGAAGUCACAUAAGCUCCCGUUGUGUGCACGACCAAGCCAGCACUGAACUCCGGCAUCACUGCUGGAGCGGUGCCUGAGAGAACCUGACGAUGGAGCUGAUGCCGACAUCACCUUAUGCGAGACCCUCGUUGCUGCCACCAUCGGCGUCAGCCGAUCCCGCUACCCCCGAUCUUGCGCAUUCUCCUAUGUGCGGCGUUAUGCCGCAGCGGCUGAUCCCCUUGUUACAGAGUGACAGGUAGACAUGACAGAUUAGAGGGCGCGUCAUUGACGGAAUGAAGGGCAAGGGAUUUGGCAGCGCACCUCCACGCUCAGCAAUGGUGUUGUGUGGCCUCGCAUCGCCCGCGAGGAGAGGAUUCAUGGUGGUGUUGGAUUGACGCUGCUGGUGAAGGUUGAUCAGGGAGGAGAAUACCAAUAUGACUGGUAUUUGGUAAUACAUUCCUUCCAUUAAUUGAUCUUCGGCUUGCUUCAACCAGCAUGCACAUGGGCGUCAUCAUGCAGACCUACAUAACUGAAGCUUUCCUUUCCCGCUGUGUGUUCGUUGCUUGCCCUGCUUCCUGCUUGAUUGGUUUGUGGGCUCUCUACAUCUGCAUUGCUAUGGUGUGGCAGUGAAAUUCCAGUUUGGUUUGAUUUGAUUUGGUUGGAUCAUCUUUGCUCGAUCCAUGGAAGAACUGGUCAUCUGGUUGCAUAGAUGAUGGUACAAGCUGGAGCAAAUGAGAAGUAAACAGAGUGGGCAUUCAGCUUAUGCAUCAUGAGUCCUGAGUGCUCAUCCGUGCCCCUGAUGUGCGUAUGUUUUUUGCUGUUGUUGUGGUUUAAAUAGUUAGCCACGGACUGAUUGUAUUGUAAGGAAAUUACGAUGGUCUAUGAUUGUGGGUGCGCUGUUGUUUGUUAUGGUUAGCUAUGGA